GCACUGCUGAGGAGUCCCAUACUAGGAUGAAAUGGCCAUCCAGUGC
rfam:Schistosoma curassoni strain Dakar, Senegal genome assembly, scaffold: SCTD_scaffold0013601